GAGACAGCAGCCGCCACGGUAAUACAGAGGGUGCGAGCGUUAAUCGGAUUUACUGGGCGUAAAGCGUGCGUAGGCGGCUUUUUAAGUCGGAUGUGAAAUCCCUGAGCUUAACUUAGGAAUUGCAUUCGAUACUGGGAAGCUAGAGUAUGGGAGAGGAUGGUAGAAUUCCAGGUGUAGCGGUGAAAUGCGUAGAGAUCUGGAGGAAUACCGAUGGCGAAGGCAGCCAUCUGGCCUAAUACUGACGCUGAGGUACGAAAGCAUGGGGAGCAAACAGGAUUAGAUACCCCAGUAGUCCCUGUCUCUUAUAC
rnacentral:rRNA from 1 species